UACGGGGGGGGCAAGCGUUGUUCGGAAUUACUGGGCGUAAAGGGCUCGUAGGUGGCCAACUAAGUCAGACGUGAAAUCCCUCGGCUUAACCGAGGAACUGCGUCUGAUACUGGAUGGCUUGAGUUCGGGAGAGGGAUGCGGAAUUCCAGGUGUAGCGGUGAAAUGCGUAGAUAUCUGGAGGAACACCGGUGGCGAAGGCGGCAUCCUGGACCGACACUGACGCUGAGGAGCGAAAGCCAGGGGAGCAAACGGG
rnacentral:rRNA from 1 species